rnacentral:rRNA from 1 species
GAUGAACGCUGGCGGCGUGCCUAAUACAUGCAAGUCGAGCGAACAGAUAAGGAGCUUGCUCCUUUGACGUUAGCGGCGGACGGGUGAGUAACACGUGGGUAACCUACCUAUAAGACUGGGAUAACUUCGGGAAACCGGAGCUAAUACCGGAUAACAUUUGGAACCGCAUGGUUCUAAAGUGAAAGAUGGUUUUGCUAUCACUUAUAGAUGGACCCGCGCCGUAUUAGCUAGUUGGUAAGGUAACGGCUUACCAAGGCGACGAUACGUAGCCGACCUGAGAGGGUGAUCGGCCACACGGGAACUGAGACACGGUCCAGACUACUACGGGAGGCAGCAGUAGGGAAUCUUCCGCAAUGGGCGAAAGCCUGACGGAGCAACGCCGCGUGAGUGAUGAAGGGUUUCGGCUCGUAAAACUCUGUUAUUAGGGAAGAACAACUGUGUAAGUAACUGUGCACGUCUUGACGGUACCUAAUCAGAAAGCCACGGCUAACUACGUG